rnacentral:rRNA from 1 species
UACAGAGGUGGCAAGCGUUGUUCGGAAUGACUGGGCGUAAAGAGCGUGUAGGCGGCCAGACAGGUCUGCUGUGAAAACUCGAGGCUCAACCUCGAGAUGUCGGCGGAAACCUUCUGGCUAGAGUCCGGAAGAGGAGAGUGGAAUUCCUGGUGUAGCGGUGAAAUGCGCAGAUAUCAGGAAGAACACCCGUGGCGAAGGCGGCUCUCUGGGACGGUACUGACGCUGAGACGCGAAAGCGUGGGGAGCGAACAGG